CCUACGGGUGGCUGCAGUGGGGAAUUUUGGACAAUGGGGGCAACCCUGAUCCAGCAAUGCCGCGUGAGUGAAGAAGGCCCUCGGGUUGUAAAGCUCUUUUGUCAGGGAAGAAACGGUCUACUCUAAUACAGUGGGCUAAUGACGGUACCUGAAGAAUAAGCACCGGCUAACUACGUGCCAGCAGCCGCGGUAAUACGUAGGGUGCAAGCGUUAAUCGGAAUUACUGGGCGUAAAGCGUGCGCAGGCGGUUUUAUAAGACAGAGGUGAAAUCCCCGGGCUCAACCUGGGAACUGCCUUUGUGACUGUAAGGCUAGAGUGUGUCAGAGGGGGGUAGAAUUCCACGUGUAGCAGUGAAAUGCGUAGAUAUGUGGAGGAAUACCGAUGGCGAAGGCAGCCCCCUGGGAUAACACUGACGCUCAUGCACGAAAGCGUGGGGAGCAAACAGGAUUAGAUACCCAAGUAGUC
rnacentral:rRNA from 1 species